rnacentral:rRNA from 1 species
AUACGGAGGGUGCAAGCGUUACUCGGAAUCACUGGGCGUAAAGCGCGCGCAGGCGGCCUGAUAAGUUGGAUGUGAAGGCCUACGGCUCAACCGUAGAACUGCAUCCAAAACUGUCAGGCUAGAGUGUGGGAGAGGAAGAUGGAAUUAGUUGUGUAGGGGUAAAAUCCGUAGAGAUAACUAGGAAUACCAAAAGCGAGGGCGAUCUUCUGGAACAGUACUGACGCUGAGGCGCGAAAGCGCGGGGAGCAAACAGGAUUAGAAACCCGAGUAGUCC